rnacentral:pre_miRNA from 1 species
CUAAUAUUGGUAUUGUAUGGAGUUGAACGUUUGCCUACGUUUGCCGCUAGGGGCGCUGUUCCAACUGCAUACAAAUUUGAGUUA